rnacentral:rRNA from 1 species
AGUGAACGCUGGCGGUAGGCCUAACACAUGCAAGUCGAACGGCAGCACAGUAAGAGCUUGCUCUUACGGGUGGCGAGUGGCGGACGGGUGAGGAAUACAUCGGAAUCUACUUUUUCGUGGGGGAUAACGUAGGGAAACUUACGCUAAUACCGCAUACGACCUACGGGUGAAAGCAGGGGAUCUUCGGACCUUGCGCGAUUGAAUGAGCCGAUGUCGGAUUAGCUAGUUGGCGGGGUAAAGGCCCACCAAGGCGACGAUCCGUAGCUGGUCUGAGAGGAUGAUCAGCCACACUGGAACUGAGACACGGUCCAGACUCCGACGGGAGGCAGCAGUGGGGAAUAUUGGACAAUGGGCGCAAGCCUGAUCCAGCCAUACCGCGUGGGUGAAGAAGGCCUUCGGGUUGUAAAGCCAUUUUGUUGGGAAAGAGAAGCAGCAGGUUAAUACCCCGCUGUUCUGACGGUACCCAAAGAAUAAGCACCGGCUAACUUCGUG